UUGGAGGGCAAGUCUGGUGCCAGCAGCCGCGGUAAUUCCAGCUCCAAUAGCGUAUAUUAAAGUUGUUGCAGCUAAAAAGCUCGUAGUUGAAUUUCGGGGUCAGUAGGUCGGUCGUGCCACUGGUAUGAACUGGUUUUACUGAUUCCUCCCUCUUGAAGAACUGUAAUGCCAUUAAUUUGGUGUUGCAGGGAAUCAGGACUGUUACUUUGAAAAAAUUAGAGUGUUUAAAGCAGGCUUUAGCUUGAAUACAUUAGCAUGGAAUAAUGAAAUGGGACGUUUGAUCCUAUUUUGUUGGUUUCUAGGAUUGACGUAAUGAUUAAUAGGGAUAGUUGGGGGCAUUAGUAUUCAAUUGUCAGAGGUGAAAUUCUUGGAUUUAUUGAAGACUAACUACUGCGAAAGCAUUUGCCAAGGAUGUUUUCAUUAAUCAAGAACGAAAGUUAGGGGAUCGAAGACGAUCAGAUACCGUCGUAGUCUUAACCAUAAACUAUGCCGACUAGGGAUCGGAUGAUGUUAAUUUUUUAAUGACUCAUUCGGCGCCUUACGGGAAAC
rnacentral:rRNA from 1 species